AUUGAACGCUGGCGGCAGGCUUAACACAUGCAAGUCGAGCGGAGAUGAGGUGCUUGCACCUUAUCUUAGCGGCGGACGGGUGAGUAAUGCUUAGGAAUCUGCCUAUUAGUGGGGGACAACAUUCCGAAAGGAAUGCUAAUACCGCAUACGUCCUACGGGAGAAAGCAGGGGAUCUUCGGACCUUGCGCUAAUAGAUGAGCCUAAGUCGGAUUAGCUAGUUGGUGGGGUAAAGGCCUACCAAGGCGACGAUCUGUAGCGGGUCUGAGGGGAUGAUCCGCCACAAUGGGACUGAGGCACGGCCCAGACUCCUACGGGAGGCAGCAGUGGGGAAUAUUGGACAAUGGGGGGAACCCUGAUCUAGCCAUGCCGCGUGUGUGAAGAAGGCCUUAUGGUUGUAAAGCACUUUAAGCGAGGAGGAGGCUACUGAGACUAAUACUCUUGGAUAGUGGACGUUACUCGCAGAAUAAGCACCGGCUAACUCUGUGCCAGCCGCCGCCGUAA
rnacentral:rRNA from 1 species